AUGAACAAACCCACGGUGUUUCAAUUAAAUUCAAAAGUGAACAAAACAAGAAUUGAAUUGAAGUUUCAAUAUGAUAUUAAUAUCCAGACAUCCAAAAUGUUUUUAUAUCAAUCAAAUCGCCUCCUUCAUAUUUUCAGCAUAACAAUGAAACCAAAGAAAUAUCGAGCAUCAAAAUUAUUUUUCACAACUUAUCACAGAUUUAAACUCGAGAAACCAAUCAUGGCAGCAUAA